CUUUUAUAUAGUGCAUGUAGUCUGAAAAAACUCAUAAAUUGCUAGUGCUCUCAUCAGCUUCGUCUCUCUCUAAUUAUGAGACUGGAGUUAAACAAGAACUCUACAUUG
rfam:Brassica oleracea var. oleracea cultivar TO1000 chromosome C5, whole genome shotgun sequence